GUGGGGAAUAUUGGACAAUGGGCGCAAGCCUGAUCCAGCCAUGCCGCGUGAGUGAUGAAGGCCUUAGGGUUGUAAAGCUCUUUCACCGAUGAAGAUAAUGACGGUAGUCGGAGAAGAAGCCCCGGCUAACUUCGUGCCAGCAGCCGCGGUAAUACGAAGGGGGCUAGCGUUGUUCGGAUUUACUGGGCGUAAAGCGCACGUAGGCGGUUUGUUAAGUCAGGGGUGAAAUCCCGGAGCUCAACUCCGGAACUGCCUUUGAUACUGGCAAGCUAGAGUCCGGAAGAGGUAAGUGGAACUCCUAGUGUAGAGGUGGAAUUAGUAGAUAUUAGGAAGAACACCAGUGGCGAAGGCGGCUUACUGGUCCGGAACUGACGCUGAGGUGCGAAAGCGUGGGGAGCAAACAGGAUUAGAUACCCCGGUAGUCC
rnacentral:rRNA from 1 species